rnacentral:lncRNA from 1 species
AUCGAAAUCCGACCUAUUUAUUAAACAGAUCAAAAAUUUAAAUCCGAACCCGAUCUAUUUAUUUAAUCCGACCCAAUCCGUUUAAUCCAUUUAUUAAAUAGGUCAAAUUAGGUUAAAUGAGUUAAACAGGUUAAAUGGAUUAAACAGGUUAAAUGGGUCAAGUUAAAUGGGUCAGAAACAGGUUAAACAUAUUUUAAACAGAUUAAAUAGGCCUUAAAUGGGUUAAACAUAUUAAAC